UAAUACGAAGGGGGCUAGCGUUGUUCGGAAUUACUGGGCGUAAAGCGAACGUAGGCGGUGUUCCAUGUCAGAGGUGAAAGCCUGGGGCUCAACUCCAGAAUUGCCUUUGAAACGGGGACGCUUGAGUCCGAGAGAGGAUGGCGGAAUUCCUAGUGUAGAGGUGAAAUUCGUAGAUAUUAGGAAGAACACCGGUGGCGAAGGCGGCCAUCUGGCUCGGUACUGACGCUCAGGUUCGAAAGCGUGGGGAGCAAACAGGAUUAGAUACCCUGGUAGUCCACGCCGUAAACGAUGAGUGCUAGUUGUUGGGAAGUUUACUUCUCAGUGACGCAGCUAACGCGAUAAGCACUCCGCCUGGGGAGUACGGCCGCAAGGUUA
rnacentral:rRNA from 1 species